CCAAUAGCGUAUAUUAAAGUUGUUGCAGUUAAAAAGCUCGUGGUUGAAUUUCGGGAUUGGCGCAUCGGUCGUGCCUCACGGGGUAUGAACUGGUGCAGUCAAUUUCUCACCUUCUGGAGAACCGCGAUGUCCUUAAUUGGAUGCCGCGGGGAACCAGGACCUUUACUUUGAAAAAAUUAGAGUGUUUAAAGCAGGCAUUUUUGCUUGAAUACAUUAGCAUGGAAUAAUAAAAUAGGACGGCAUGGUUCUAUUUUGUUGGUUUCUAGGACCACCGUAAUGAUUAAUAGGGAUAGUUGGGGGCAUUAGUAUUCAAUUGUCAGAGGUGAAAUUCUUGGAUUUAUUGAAGACUAACUACUGCGAAAGCAUUUGCCAAGGAUGUUUUCAUUAAUCAAGAACGAAAGUUAGGGGAUCGAAGACGAUCAGAUACCGUCGUAGUCUUAACCAUAAACUAUGCCGACUAGGAAUCAGACGAUGUUAAUUUUUUAAUGACUCGUUUGGCACCUUACG
rnacentral:rRNA from 1 species